UGAAGAGAGAGGCUCCCCUGGUGGGCAGGAAGGAUUGAACAGUCCUGAGCAGACAAACGUGCUCAGAUUGGGUAUUGAAGUAGAGACCUACUCCAGUGCCAGCCCCCAGGAGGGGCACGGCCUGACCGCCUGAUGUCACACAGCAAAUCCUUUCCCCUGUGGCAGUCUAUCCCCCUUCCUUGUUUCAUUUUGCACCGUGGCACUUCUUAGCAUGAGAUAUUCUCUACAUUUCCUUUGUUUGUGUGUUUGUUUGUUGCCCGUUUCUUCCAGUGAGAUCCUAAGCUUCAUAAGGACUGGGGCUGGGGCUGCCUUGGCACUGCUACAUCUCCAGGACAAUAAAUAUCUACUGAAUGAGUGAACACAUGAACAAACGAAGGGAUGAUGAAAUGAAUUGCUCAGGAGGCCCGUCAAGAGCUCUGCUGAGAGACCUGGGUGAUGGGGCUGAGGGUCUUGGGGAGGGUCAAGGAGGUGGGAAUUGCAAGCUAGGACCUGAUGGGAAGGCAUCCACAAAGCUGAGCCACAGAGGCUGUGAGGGAUGGGAGUGGAAGUGAAGAGGGGCCAGAGGAGAUGCUCAGGAGGACAGAGGGAACACUAGCUAGCAGGAAGAUCCAAGGGGAGGGGACCUAUUGCUGUGUCAGAUGACAGUUUCUGGUUGGAAGUCUUGGAUUAAGGGAUCUUCAAGUGUCCCUUUGGAGAAGAGGGUGUGCCUGACCUUAAGCACUGGCCACUUUGGGUGUUUUCAGCUUAUCCCAAUCAGACGCCACUUGCACCCAGUCCUGCUCCCAGCCGGCCCUUUCCCAGCUUGCUCACCUUCUCAGAGGCUCCAGCCUGAUCAAUCACCGCUGGCCCCACCAUGACUCUGGCACAUUUUGCAUCUUUAUGUCAGACCGUCUGUAUCUGUGACUCCCUAAUUCUGUGCAAAACAAAGAAUGAAAAAUAGACUCAGACAUGAGGACUGUACUGGAGGGCACACUUUCUUCCUUUUUUGUCUUUUAAUUUUCUAGGCACAGGUUAUUCUAAACCUCAUCUUGGGCUUGCAGUUGGCAGAAAGAAAAGUAGCAGAUUGGAAUAUCAUGUUAAACAGACACCUACAAGACUGUCAUGAUUUUCUUAUGGAUCAUGGACUGCUGGAAUGAAGUCAGUGCAGGAAAGAAGCUUGUUCGAUCGACAGCUGGUAGACAUGAAGCGUCUCAGAAUGAGGAACGCAUCACAGGCUGUCCCUGUGUUUCUGUAGAAACUUUACCUACAAAAGGAAAAAUAGAGCACGUCAGGCUUCAGUGACAGUCAGUAUGUUCCGUGAGCCAGCUGGGAAACUGCACUCACCUCCAUAUUCUUACCAGGAGAUCUUGGGAUAAUCUGAUUUCAUUCUAGCAAUAGAAUGUGUUUAGGGCCUACGCUACGCCAGGCGCUGUGCUGCAGUAAGACAUGAAGGAGACGUGGACCCUGGGGGAGAUGGACACCCCUCUUGUAGUUAAAGUCCAGUAUGACCAUUGCUUUUGGGGUUAAGCAGCUCUGCAGAUAAUGCCUGUGUUAGGCUGAGCCCUGCUAGUGUCAGUGGAAAUAGCAAUGACAUGUUAAUGAGGUUGUUCCUCAGGGUGCUGAGUUAGAGCCCCAUGCUGCUAACUGUUGUGAUGGUCUUGGACGUGGUGAUUGCUCAUUCUGAGAGAUGUGGAUUACUUUCCAAAUCAAAAAGUUAAUUAGUUUUUAAUUUGUUGGGUUGUCUGAGAGAUACAACUGGAAAAUUCCCCUCUUGCCUUCUUGGUCCCUUAAUCUGGCUGUGUGCAGGCGAUUAUGUUUAACAAGGAGCAGUGAUCAAUCAGUUAUUGACAUUUAUUUCAUCAAAUGUAACUGAAUGUUUACUCAUAUUGGUGGAUUUGCUACCAAAGACUGUCUUAAAUUCAGGGCUAACUUUUCUUUUUAAAUUGUAAAUGAAUAACCUUUAGCAUAAAGCUUUAAAUGAUAUCUAGAAUUUAAAAUCACUAAAUCCUCAUAUAAUAUUUCCAAAUCAUCUUAAUUUCUGAAGAUGGGCACCUAUCCUUUUGCUUUCUUUUCUGUCUAGUGUCUGGUAAUCACCAUUAAUUCCAUUUCUUUUUAGAGUAUCACAGCUUUCUCCUUCACUGACCACCCUUUGCUUCCUGUCAGAAAGCCCUGGACAGAACUCUCUGUGGGAUUCUGCCCAUGUUUCUGAGAUAUCGCCUCAAUUGUCCUGGCUGGGCUGUCGGGUCUGCCCGUUUUACAGAUGGGCAAACUGGAGUGGGAAGUAUCCGGGUGGCUUCCUCAGGCCUGCAGCUGGUGGAGCAGCUACUGAAACAAUCAGGUGAUUCAGAUCUACUGGAGGCUUUGCCCUCAUGGGCAUAAUAAAGUUGGUAUUCCCAGGUCUGCCCACAAGAAGCUAUUGAUGGGUUUAUCAUGUUGAUUCUUUUUUAAAUUAGUAAAGUAAAAGAGUACCUUAAUAGUAAAGACAUUUCCUUGGUAUUUUUAAAAAGUCAUGUGACAUGAUCUCUUCCUUUUGUCUUGAUAAACCUCCCUUUAAACUCUCUGGCUUAGUUAUUUUAGACUUCCCAGCCUCAUGUAAUACUGGUUUCCUUACAUUGAUCCAUUUAUUGUCAUUUAUUGUAAGAUAGGCAAUAGAGGGGACAUCGAGCUUGCUUGCUGUGCUAUCUCUGUUUCAGCCCCAAAGUGCUGGAGACUUGCACUGUUUUGUUUGUUUGUUUGUUUGUUUUGAGACAGAGUCUUACGCUAUCACCCAGGUUGGAGUGCAGUGGCGCUCCAUUGCAGCCUCUACCUCCCUGGGCUCAGGUGAUCCUCCCACCUCAGCCUCACAAGUAUCUGGGACUACAGGUAGGCACCACCAUGCCCAGCUAAUUUUCAUAUUUUUUUGUAGAGAGGGGGGUUUCACUAUGUUGCCCAGGCUGGUCUCGAACUCGUGGGCUCAAAGGAGACUUGCACAUUCUUUGCCUAUAUGGCCAUGCCCAGCCCUCUCCCCUUCACAUCUGGUCUUCUGGGAAGAUGAGAAAGGCAAGCUCAGCCUCUGCUGAUUGGGCAACUCCUAGGCAGGGCUGGCUGAAAGGUGCAGGGACCCCUGGCCUUUAUCAAACUCCCUCAGCUAUCUAAGCCCCUAAAGGUUUAGUGUUGGCAGCUGUGCCUCCCCCACCUUUGACUGUUCUUUAAGGCAGUAAGCCCAUCUACCAGGGCUACACACACCUCUCUCUAACCCCAGAGCCAUCUGACACUGUUCUCUGUGGUGCAGGAGGGGAACACUGACCCCUCGAUUAAGUGGCAUUUCUCAAGAGCCAGCACCCCUUCGGUGUUUUUCAUGAGCACUUGCAGCAAGCUCUGCAUAACUGGAGGAAGCAGGGGGUGUUUAGACCCUCCCCCAGAAUAUCCUGUUCUUUGCUGGAUUAUUCAGCUUGGCUUUCAAACUAGCCCCGGGUUUAGGGUUAAUUCUCUCACCUUCUCUGGCUUUGAAGACCCAGACAUGGUGUGCUGAGAAAUCCAACAACUCAAUAGUUUUCCUUCUGCCUUUAACUCAGCCAUAUAAAUGAGAUAAAGUGUGCAAAACUCUUACUGUGUGCACAGUAAGUGGGAGCCAGCAGUGGAAUACAUGCUACAUAAGGCGCCACUUUAUUUAGCUGUAUUUUGUCAGUCCAAGUGAAGAUUUUAAUUGCAGAAUAGUGUCUUGCUAGCAAAAAUGAACCUGCUUAGAGUCAAGUUUUUAAAAUUCAAGUGAAUAAAUGAAAAAUUGUAAGAAAGAUUGUUAAAGAAGCAUUCAUUUUAAGAACAUCUCAGAUAUGAAAAACUUAGAACUUAGAUGUCAGAAUUUCAGUAGCGAUGAAUCCCAUGGCAAAGCUUCCAUCUCAUCUGUACUAAUUGGUUCAUAAAUUGGACACGUGGGCUUCCUUUUGUGUGUCUUCAGGAAGUUGAGGCCUGAGGAACUCUGAAGCCAGGAGCUUCCUCAGCCCCUCUGCUGCUGGAUGGAGGUGCUGCCAGUCAGGGGCCCAUCUUCAGGACACUGGCACAGGGACCUCCUCAGGCCGGGCCCCUUGUACAGCGGACUCCUUUCUGCUUUGUCUAUGAAGAUCUGGCCACGUUGAGCUCCACUCCAUUCUGCUUUGUCUACGAAGAUCUGGUCACAUGGAGCUCCACUCCAUUUACUUUUUCGUUGCAUUCUCUUCUCAGUGUGGUUGCUUUUGAUCCCCCACUUUCGUAACCCACAUAGCCAAUAUUUUCCCAGUGAAUCCCAUAAUAUUCUGGGUGACAGACUGAGGCUUACUCCCUAACCAAAGACCUCUGAGAGCACAGAUGGAGAGGCGUGACUAUGAUCUGGGGCAGGGCCUCACCAUCCUUUUCCAGAGCCUCACCCCCUGUGCCCAAGAUGGACAUGGGAUGGACCUAGGGGUAGAAUUUGAGAGUGCUCAUUUAUACUCUUUCAGCAGCCUUCAAACUGUUUUUUGGUAGCUGAGAAACUGUAAUCGGCUUUUGGAUUAUGAAAAAUAUUGCUCAGCACUCAUAUUAUAUUGAUUCAAAAAUAAGGAUUGUGUAGUUUAACUGCAUAGUAAAAUACAGCUUUAUAGAAUGGUAAUUUUUUAUUUAAGUUCUUCUACAUUAUAGUGAGAGAUAACGGAUUCAGGAAGGGCACAAUGAGGAAUAAAGCUGUUGUAUUGUAUUGGUUAAAUGACAUUUUAAAUGAUUUGGCUGUCAAACUCGUAGAAAGGUUAUGAGCAGUGAAUGAAAAAUCUAAAAUUAAUUCCCUGCUUCAAGAAAGUGUGAUUUAUACUAUAAUAAAAUUAGAUUUUUAGUUAAAGAAAUUUAGUCAUUAAGUAAUGCCCAUGCACUAAGUCUCAUUUAUAACCAUCUGGUUUGAAGCUUCUGCAGAAAAUAAUUUCUUCCUUAGACAAUGCAUCCAGGGCCUUGGUGUCAUUAUGUCAAUGAAUUUCACUCCUUACAUUUCUGCUACAGCUUUUGAGGGGUUGCUUUUUUAAGCACUGGAAAGAUGGAUUCUUAUUUAGCCUCAAUAAUUGAGGAAGCCGUUGAACUCAUUUACCUCCCAAAAAUAAUCUGAUCGUCUCCCUCUCUUAGCUCUUUUCAUGAAUGGUAAUGUUGUUGAUGAUGGUGGCACAUGUUGGAGGACUGCCUGUGUGCUGGACACCAUGCUAAGCAUGGGACAAGCUUAUUAUUUCAUUUGAUCAUCACAACUACUCUAUGUGGAAUGUGCUAUUUCUGCCUUUACAGAUCAACAAACAGAGACUAAGGAAAUGUUAAAUAAUUCAACAAAGGUGACAGAGGCACAGCUGGCCCCCACUCUUAAUCCCUGUCAUAUUUUUCACGAAUGUGUGUUGAGCAUUUCCUUGGAGGAAGUAGAGUAUAGUGGUAGGACCUCAGAGGUUUGAGUCUAGUCCUGAUGUGGCCACUUCUCAUGUGAAAUUCAGCAAGUUGCAGUCUUUCCCUCAGUACAUCUUUCUUCAUCUGUAAAUUAAAAGUGGGGUUUGUUCCCUCUAUUUAACAAACUUCUGAUUACUCCUGGGUAAUUUGUCUUAUUUUAAAAAUUUUUACUGGAGCAUAUCAAAUAUAUAGUAAAGACACAUAUUCUGAGUGUAGCACUUGGUUAAUAUUUUGUAAGUGAACAUAUCUAUGUGACCACCACCAAGAUGAUAAUAUAGAACAUUUCCAGCAUCCCACAAACCAUUCUGUGUCCCCCGGUCAUUAUCCUCGCAAAGGUUACUACUCAUCUGUCAUCAGAGAUUGGUUUUGCUUGUUUCUGAGAUUUAUAAAAAUAAAAUCUUAUAAACUGUA